rnacentral:tRNA from 1 species
GCCACCAUAGCUCAGCUGGUAGAGCAGUCGAUUCGUAAUCGACAGGUCGUCGGGUCGUAGCCGACUGGUGGCU